CGGCAGCACGGGGGCAACCCUGGUGGCGAGUGGCGAACGGGUGAGUAAUACAUCGGAACGUGUCCUGGAGUGGGGGAUAGCCCGGCGAAAGCCGGAUUAAUACCGCAUACGCUCUGUGGAGGAAAGGGGGGGAUCUUCGGACCUCUCGCUCAAGGGGCGGCCGAUGGCAGAUUAGCUAGUUGGUGGGGUAAAGGCCUACCAAGGCGACGAUCUGUAGCUGGUCUGAGAGGACGACCAGCCACACUGGGACUGAGACACGGCCCAGACUCCUACGGGAGGCAGCAGUGGGGAAUUUUGGACAAUGGGCGCAAGCCUGAUCCAGCAAUGCCGCGUGUGUGAAGAAGGCCUUCGGGUUGUAAAGCACUUUUGUCCGGAAAGAAAACCUCGUGGUUAAUACCCGUGGGGGAUGACGGUACCGGAAGAAUAAGCACCGGCUAACUACGUGCCAGCAGCCGCGGUAAUACGUAGGGUGCAAGCGUUAAUCGGAAUUACUGGGCGUAAAGCGUGCGCAGGCGGUUCGCUAAGACAGAUGUGAAAUCCCCGGGCUUAACCUGGGAACUGCAUUUGUGACUGGCGGGCUAGAGUAUGGCAGAGGGGGGUAGAAUUCCACGUGUAGCAGUGAAAUGCGUAGAGAUGUGGAGGAAUACCGAUGGCGAAGGCAGCCCCCUGGGCCAAUACUGACGCUCAUGCACG
rnacentral:rRNA from 1 species